UAGCUCAAUUGGUUAGAACAUGAUGCUGAUAACACCAAGGUUGUGGGUUCGAUUCCCGU
rnacentral:tRNA from 1 species